GUCCACGUGUGGACGAGAGGAGAGUACCUGAAGAAAAAGCAUCGGCUAACUCCGUGCCAGCAGCCGCGGUAAUACGGAGGAUGCGAGCGUUAUCCGGAUUUAUUGGGUUUAAAGGGUGCGUAGGCGGAGUGUCAAGUCAGCGGUAAAAUUUCGGGGCUCAACCCCGUCGUGCCGUUGAAACUGACACCCUUGAGUGAGUGAGAAGUAAGCGGAAUGCGUGGUGUAGCGGUGAAAUGCAUAGAUAUCACGCAGAACGCCGAUUGCGAAGGCAGCUUACCGGCGCUCAACUGACGCUGAGGCACGAAAGUGCGGGUAUCGAACAGGAUUAGAUACCCUGGUAGUCCGCACAGUAAACGAUGAAUGCUAGAUGUCCGGGGCGAAUGAGCUCUGG
rnacentral:rRNA from 1 species